GGACGGAAGCAACGUCCCAGAGUUCUGGUAACAGUUCACUCAGUGAGCCAGAUUCUGGGGGAGAAGUGGUCCCUAACAAUGAAGGCAGCAAACCGCUUAGCAAAUCGGGAAAUGGGGACGAUGCAAUGCCCAAUCGCGAUGACAACACUAUACAAGAUGGGCAAACCUUUAUUCAGGCAAGAUGUUGGAACCUGAUUUUAAAUCCCUCAAUAUUAGUAUUUACAAACUUCCC